rnacentral:rRNA from 1 species
AUACGUAGGGUGCGAGCGUUAAUCGGAAUUACUGGGCGUAAAGCGUGCGCAGGCGGUUUUGUAAGACAGAGGUGAAAUCCCCGGGCUCAACCUGGGAACUGCCUUUGUGACUGCAGGGCUAGAGUACGGCAGAGGGGGAUGGAAUUCCGCGUGUAGCAGUGAAAUGCGUAGAUAUGCGGAGGAACACCGAUGGCGAAGGCAAUCCCCUGGGCCUGUACUGACGCUCAUGCACGAAAGCGUGGGGAGCAAACAGGAUUAGAUACCCUAGUAGUCC